UUCAAAGUUUAUCUUAUAACAUACAUAACCUUUUCCUUUUGAGUUUAAUGUAUUUUUAUCGGUGAAUCAAAGUUUAGCUUAUUUCUCCCUUCGCCUCUUUGCUUCCCCAUCGGUUUUAUCAAAGAGCAAACUCCACGGAAAAGAAGAAAACCAAGACUUAAUUAUAUUUUUGUGUGGCUCAACUAACCUCCAACUUCUAAAAUUCAUAUGCAAAUUCAAUGGAAACCAACAACCUCUAGGUUAGAGUUUCCAUAUUUUUUCCUUUAUCUUGUGUGAUUUAAUUUCUCAGUUUUAUUGAUUUAGUAUUUGUUUCUUUAUUAAAUAUGAGAGAUCGCUGUAGAUCGGAGACUAAUUGGUUGAUCAAAACAUUCAAUCUAAGAAGAAAGCAGGGGAUGUGAAAUUUAGAGGAUGAAUGGAUUAUGAUGUUGAAGAUCAGGUUGAACUCUUUUGUAUAACGUUAUUAGUUGAAUUUUAGCAAAAAAAAAAAGAUCAGGUGUUGGCAUAUGAAAUAAAAACUCCAAUCAUAGAAUCUAGUUAAUCGGAAUCGUCAUACAAAGGUUAGUACUUGUUUUAUAAUAAGGUUGAUUUCAAAUGUCUUAAAUGUUUUUCAGACAUGAAGUAUUAGUAUCAAAACCAUCUCAUAGUUCUGUUAUAUAGAGAGAUAGACAGUAGCAUCCGAUUUAUUGAAGAGAGAUUCUUAAGAUUUGGCUCAGAUUGAUAAACAGAGAGAUAAAUCGUCAGAAGAGUAGCAAACAGAAGUACUGAAGCAAUAUGGAUUAAAGGGGAGACAGAGAAAGGAAGAACGUAAUAUGUGUCUCUCAGUUUUCUUUUGCUUCUUUCUUGUUCUGAGAUUUUUUUAACUUGUUUAAAUUAUAUUUACAGCUCAAAAGGUAUUCAAGGUUGUCCAUUUCCCCACAGUUGAUGUCACUAGUCAUAUAUGUGUCUUGUCUCAUAUCUCUGUCUGAUAUUCUUAUUCUAAUAUAUGUACAGAUUGAAUAAGCGUUUCCUCCUUCUGAUAAGAUAGCAAACCCAUCGAUCAAUGAAGCUGAGGAUGAAAUCUUUCAAAUGUUUGAUAUGAAACUGUAACAGAGAUUUCUAUGACCCAGUUGAGGAAGAUGAAUUUGAACAGGAUGCUAAGGUCCAUAUAUUGUUCCCAACUGAACCUCUUCCGUGAUGAACUCAAGAGUUUCUCCACCACUACGGGUGUUUUGCUUCCACGGAUGAGGCAAUCUGACACGAACUGGCCACCCGAUUUUAUACGCUUUGACAUCCUUUAGAAGAGACAUAUUUUUUGCGCUCGCCAUGUUUUCUGUGAAUGAAGAGUGAAAUAUGGAUAGGUAGUAGGUAAUUCUAGACUCAGUAUAUAUAUAGAUGGGUGAAGAGUCUAGGUUAAGAGGGUAGAUAUGGCGAGUUUAGAUACAGCUCGGAUAUCCUCUGCCUUCAAUUUUUUAAAGCUAAUCGUAUGAUUGUAUCUUUUGAAAAUCUCUAUAAUCAAUUUUAGAAAUUGUUCAAAUUCCUUGCGCAAAAUAUGGAAACUAAUUACAAAAGGCAUCAUUAAUUGAUUAACGCUUUUCAUGGAAGAUCUUGGGAGGCAAUAUAUUAGAGAAUAAUAAGAUACAUGAUCUAGCUUGUAGUGUUUACAUGUGAGAAUAAAUUUUAAAACCAGUGGGAUGAGAUUGUAAUUCUUUAGAAAAUUCAGAGCUAUUUCAAAUUUGUACUCCUGUUUUAAUAAAUUAGAUAUUCUUUUUUUUUUUUUUGAACAACUGAUUAAUAUUAAAACUGAAAGAAAGAACAAAGGGUUUUGGUCUUAAAGGCAGGCCCAGAAACAUUACAAGACGAAACGGAACGGGCCUUAAGGGCCCUUUUUGCUAGUUCAUCUGCGUCGAUGUUCUGAGAACGAGCGACAUGCAGGAAGGAGAUAGAAUGAAAGCGAGAUGAGAGAUUCUUGAUGUCCUGGAGAACACCAUAGAUCUCUUUGAUCUGACUGUCUGAUGAGAUUGCUCUUAUGAGCGUUGCGCAAUCGGAGUGAACCGAGAUUGAGGUUAAUCCUAACCGUAGAGCUUUUGUGAUACCUUGUCGAAGAGCUAGAGAUUCGGCCAUGAGGGGGGGAAGCCACAUCCUCGAUGAUCAGGGAAUCUGUGAUCGGCUCGAUUGAUCGGUCCUUUGUCAAGAUCCACACAAUACCUGCUUGAUUUGAAGAAUCUUUCCACGCUGCGUCCACGAAGCAAUAUGGGGUUGAUUGGAGACUGGGAUCUUGUCGCCGGUUUGAGUUUCUUGGUAGGCUUCUUUUACUUGUUGAUGUUAGGGAGAUUUGAGCUUGAACCCACUCUAGGGCUGACGAGAGUCCUUUUGACGCUACCUCGAUAGGUUGUGCAGUUUUAUUUUUGAAUAUUAGCUUAUUUCUUGCUAUCCACAGGGACCAGCAGAUCCAAGGAAAUACUGGUGUUGUGAUGCCUGUGGGGGGGGGGAGGGGAGGGGGAGGGGGGAAGCAGAGGAGUCUUCGGAAAUGGACCAUAAUCGAUUUGAAAUCCGCAGCAGCAGCUAGGUGAACUGGUGCGUUGAGAGGAAUGAGCCGCCACACCUCUUUGGCAAACGGGCAGUGGAAGAAAAUGUGUUCUGCAGAUUCCUCCGUUUUACAACGAGGGCAAAGGGCAGCAGAGCUCAUACCUUGGCGUUGGAGUUCACUUCCCACAGGGGGAGGAGUGAUUGUUGCAGCUUUCAAGUUGGGAGGAGUUAUGGGCUGAGUCUUUGAGUUGUAUCCGGAUUUUGUUGGGUAAACACCUGAGUCGAGGGGAAGCCACACAUAAAUGUCCUCUGCCCCUACUUUGCUUGGCUUCAAGCAUUGGAUCUGCUUACUAAAAUCUGGUUCUCUUGGAGUAGAUCUCUGCCAUGAAGGAUGCUCCUCCACCCAUGGGAACAGACCGCUGGUACUUGAGCUUCAAGGAAGCUUUUGUUGUGGCAAUAUUUACCGGGGCUUUAUCCCACCAGAAGCGAGUUAGAGAGGAUUGGAUUCUGCUGCAAAGGCUUUGGGGCAACAGGAAGCAAGACAUUGUGUACGUUGGAAUAGCUGUAAGAACAGCUUUGAGCAUGGUGAGCUUACAUGCUCUGGAGAGGAAGCGUGUCGACCAGUUAGCGGCUCUUUGUCGGAUCUUAUCCACUAUGGAGGAUUUGAAGCAGGGAGUGACAGCAUUCCUCAGAUGAGUUGCAGAACAUCAUAGUGUCAUCGGCAAACAGCAGAUGAUUAACGCGGGGGCUGCCUCUAACGACUCGUAUCCCUCUUAUCGACCCUUCUAGCUCUGCUUUCCGACACAAGCCAGAGAGGACUUCCCCACAGCGGAUAAACAAGUAUGGCGAGAUCAGGUCUCCUUGCCUAAUGCUACAGUGAGGUUUCACAGCUCCAUAGACUGAGCCAUUUAUGAGAUAAGAAUUGGUUUUCCGAGAUAAUAAAGCAGAGGAAGGGUUUCAGUCGCAAGGAGAGCAGCUUUGAGAUGAUCUUAUAGUACACGUUGCAGAGGGCUAUAGAUCUAAUUCAUCUACUCUUUUGGCAGUUAGAGUCUUUGGGAUUAACCUUACAUGAGUUUUAUUCAAUGUAGGUGACAUUAUCCCAGUAGAGAAGAAACCUUGGGUCUCCUUAAUAAUGGAAGGGCCAAUCGUCUCCCGGUUUGAGUGAAAGAAGCUAGCAGAGAAGCUGUCGGGACCUGGAGCCUUGUCUGCGUGGAUUGCAAAGAGAGCCUCCUUUAUCUCUGUUGGUGAUGGAUCUCUGAGUUUGUCGUAGUAGGAGCAAACUAGUGCUGAGAUCUGAUCUUCCUCAAAGAAAACUUGCACGAUUUGCAGAUGGCUCGCCGGCAAAGAGCUAGUCUUGCCUCUACCCCAAGAUAAUUGCAGAAAGAUAUGAUAGGACGAUGAUCAGACCACUCAUACUUAAGAUACUGGCAGCGGCAGGAGGGGAAGAGCUCAGUCCACUCUGGAUUGCUCAUGGAUCUAUCCAGACGACAUCUCACUAGAUGCAUGCCUCUUUUUCCUCUCCAGGAGAGCGGAUUACCUGAAUGUUUGAUGUCAAACAGGUCAUUUUCGGAUAGAAAUGUGCGGAAAGCCCCGUAGGAAAACAAUGUCAGAAGACUUCUUCUUUCGAAGCUCCUUUAGACGCUGAGCUGUUAUGGGGUUCCCCAGUCCACAAAAGUUCCAGCUCAGUACGACUAAGGAGCCUGGGGAGGGGGAACCCGAAAAUCCGUCUUCUUCUUUGACAUAGCUGGAAUCAUCUGGAUAGGUGCGUUCCUAGGGGCAUUUGGAGCAUCAGUAGCCAAGUUUGUUGGGUCCACCGUUGACUGGUCUUUGUUGGAUCCUCCUAUCUUCAGUUUUUUACCGCCUUCCGGGUUAGGUUGGCUCUGGUGGUGAUGAGAAGCCUCUUCUGAAGUCGCAGGUGGACUUACAAUGAUCGACCUAAUUCGUGCAGUUGUGACUCUGUCCUCACCCGGGGGGGGGGGGGAGUGUACUCUACUUGUUGAAGCUUUACGUUGGGGAGGGGUAAGGCCAAAAUCAUCUUCCUCUCUUAGAGAUGAGGCCAGUGAAGUUGGACUGAAGAUCUGGUCUGGUCGCAGUCCCAAUAACGUAUUGUUUGCUGGUGGGCUAAUUGAUUUUAUGCCUAGCUCCCAAGGGGAUAGUGGACGUCUUGGUGUUGUCUCGGAGGCUAGAAUAGUGGUUGCUGUCUUUUCCAUUAAGCACGACGCAUCGCUGGUGAGUACUCUUUGUUUCCUAGCCGCAGCUUCAGUAGGGUCUGCACAGCAUAGGUUGUUAGCUUGGGAGGCUCGCUUUUUCAGCAUUGUAGCUACAGUUUCUUCAACCUCCCUUUUGCGUUCCCUAUCAUGACUCUCUGCCUCCUAGAUGCAGCCUCUGUGGGGUCUGGGCAGCUAAAGUACAAGCGAGUGGCCUCAUUGAGGUCCUGUAUAAUCUCUUCUUUAGUUUGAUGUCUCUUUGUGCUCAACUGGUGGUCUUGAUGUGAGAGAUUUGUUCUGGAGUUCUGGUGGUCUUUAUCGCGUUUAGCUUCUUGUGAUGCAGAGGCAGCUACAGUUGAAGGGAGGAGAAGUAUAGCUGUGUGGCUUUGGUUCCCGUGAAGCUGAGAUUUUUCUCCAAGUUUCUGGCUUAUCACUUCUCAAAACCAAAUCCUUUGGCGGAGGUGGGAUUCUUGUUUUUUUUUGUAGCAACUCUAGAACCGAAGCUGUUUCCGUGUCUGUCUAUUCUCUCUUGGAAAGGCUUUGGGCUUAGAGUGUCUCUGCUCACCAUUCUCUAGUAUCCUGGCGGAGAGCUCUCCCCUUCUAUAGCUUUUGAGAUUUCUCUGUCAGCAAGCUAGGAUAGUCUUUCUUUAGAUGGGAGAGGGCGUUACAGAAGGAGCAGUGUUGCUCCAAUCUUUCAUAUUCCAGGCCAUCUACUAGGACUUGAAUUCUCGCCGAGGUCUUUGUAAGCUCAUGGUUCAUGAGGGUCCCCAGCUCCUUGCCUAUGUCGCAAAGCAUGUCUUCAUGCCAGAAAUGUAGUGGGAGUCCUUUUACUCGGAUCCAGAAGGGGAUUUGUGAAGGGAAGGUUGCUGAGAUAAUAGGCUCCCAUCUCUGCAGUAUGACCAUCCAAUAGGCAAAGUGGCCUGACCCUGAUACUCUCCCUUGUACGUGCCAUUUGCGGGGAAGAGCUGGGAUGAGGGCUCACAUUCUCUAUUCCUGCGGAUUAAUUGUUCUUCCAAUGAGAGUGAGCGCAUUAUCCCUGAUAAGGGCUGAGUUAUCUACGCAUGGUGCCUUGAUUCGAAUGAUGUGAGAGUUGUUGGUCGCUUGAUUGUUCCGCAAGGAAGAUAGAUUACCGUUAGCGAGCUUUUAUGUUUUGGUGGGGGAUUUGGGCUCUUGCAAUCGUUAGAUCUGUAGAAGCGAGGUUGUUUGAGAUUUGAAAAGUGGAGAAGAACUUCUUGGAGGAUGCUAGAUUCAGUAAAAGAAUAGGGCUUCCAUGAUAAAUCAAUGGAGAGACCGGUGGUUUCUUUCCCGUUUCAGCUAAGUUUCGUGUAGCCACUAUCGAAGCUUUUCGACCGUUGACAAAGGGCUUCCUUGUCUUGGGAGAUGUGCCUGGGAGAGUCCUUUCUCACCGAGGCGUGAUGUUCUAACUGAUCUACUAGAUUAGAUACUCCUUAUACUCCUUCCUUGGCAGGGGUGCGUCGUGCAUGAUAUAUCCUUCACAUGUCUCUGCGUAUAGACGUUAGUUCUUUCGUGAUUGAUCUGAGCUCUCGAUUGAACGAUGGAUGUAUGAUAGUACUUCCGUGUGUUUUGGGAUUCAAGAUCCACAUGAUACGGUCUUGAUAAAUGCUAGAAUCUUCUUACGGAUUUGACGCAUCCAAACGACAAAGAAAAGUUGUGUAUAAUAACAGGAAAAUUCAUAUGUUUGUGUGUAUUAUGUAUAGAAUAUAAAUAGAGGUUUGAUGAUAA